AUACAUGCAGUCGAGCGAGCAGAAGGGAGCUUGCUCCCGGAUGUUAGCGGCGGACGGGUGAGUAACACGUGGGUAACCUGCCUGUAAGACUGGGAUAACUCCGGGAAACCGGAGCUAAUACCGGAUAGUUCCUUGAACCGCAUGGUUCAAGGAUGAAAGACGGUUUCGGCUGUCACUUACAGAUGGACCCGCGGCGCAUUAGCUAGUUGGUGGGGUAAUGGCUCACCAAGGCGACGAUGCGUAGCCGACCUGAGAGGGUGAUCGGCCACACUGGGACUGAGACACGGCCCAGACUCCUACGGGAGGCAGCAGUAGGGAAUCUUCCGCAAUGGACGAAAGUCUGACGGAGCAACGCCGCGUGAGUGAUGAAGGUUUUCGGAUCGUAAAGCUCUGUUGUUAGGGAAGAACAAGUGCGAGAGUAACUGCUCGCACCUUGACGGUACCUAACCAGAAAGCCACGGCUAACUACGUGCCAGCAGCCGCGGUAAUACGUAGGUGGCAAGCGUUGUCCGGAAUUAUUGGGCGUAAAGGGCUCGCAGGCGGUUUCUUAAGUCUGAUGUGAAAGCCCCCGGCUCAACCGGGGACGGUCAUUGGAAACUGGGAAACUUGAGUGCAGAAGACGAGAGUGCAAUUCCACGUGUAGCGGUGAAAUGCGUAGAGAUGUGGAGACACCAGUGGCGAUGC
rnacentral:rRNA from 1 species